UUUUGGACAAUGAGGGCAACCCUGAUCCAGCCAUGCCGCGUGAGUGAAGAAGGCCUUCGGGUUGUAAAGCUCUCUCGGACGGAACGAAAUGGGCGGGACUAAUACUCCUGUCUGAUGACGGUACCGUAAGAAGAAGCACCGGCUAACUACGUGCCAGCAGCCGCGGUAAUACGUAGGGUGCGAGCGUUAAUCGGAAUUACUGGGCGUAAAGCGUGCGCAGGCGGUUUCGUAAGCUGGAGGUGAAAUCCCCGGGCUUAACCUGGGAAUGGCCUUCAGGACUGCGAGGCUAGAGUGCGGCAGAGGGAGGUGGAAUUCCACGUGUAGCAGUGAAAUGCGUAGAGAUGUGGAGGAACACCGAUGGCGAAGGCAGCCUCCUGGGCCAGCACUGACGCUCAUGCACGAAA
rnacentral:rRNA from 1 species